rnacentral:lncRNA from 1 species
UAGGGCAAGCACGAGGUCUGGUUCAAGGCAAGGUAUAGCUUAACGGAAUGAAACAGAAUUAGUGUAUUAAGCAAGUACGGAAAAGCUGAAAAAGGGAAUUCAGGCGCUGUUCUCAAGUCUAGUUAACGAAGCCGAGAGGGAAAGCUUACUUGAGAGGAUAUACCUGACUGAAAGGAUAUAUAUUCGAUGUCGCAUAUCCGCUGUUGCAUAGUUAUAUUCCUCUAAUCGCUAAUCACUGCUUUUUCCUUAAUCUCAGAACUGGAUGCUAACCCUAUAUUUAUCUGAGUCUUAUGCUAAAAAGGACUUGCUUUUAGUUCGUCUUCGCCCAAGUGUGGCUAAUGCUAUAAUAGGAACUGAACUCAUACUUCUAACUCUUCUCCCCGGAACGUCUUCUUUAAGAGCGGAUCCAACCUUUCUUCUUCCUUCUCAAGCAGAUGCCGAACCUCAUUAUUUAGCGGCUCUCCGAAGUCAGAGAGAUGGGUGGGGGCCUUUCUGAUAGGCGGGACAAAGCGCUUUCAAUGGUGAUGAAAGAAGGGGAAAUGCCUGUACGGUCAAUAUAUUCUUCUUGCUUACUCGCUCAGCUCUAUAUACUUAUAUAUUAGUUAGCUCGUUCGCUUUCAGACUGCUACCCGCUCGAACUAUUACUAUUAGCUAAACAACCCUUUCUUUGUGUUUAACCGCGGUUAAACACAACCAAAGCAAAGGGAGGAAAGAGCUAUAAGGAAGACUGAUUCACUCGCUUUCGAGAACUAAGAUUUACAGCUUAUUCUCCGUUCGGCGAAUCUUCUUCCGGGGAAUUCUACUCUUCUUUCAUAGAUUGGGAACAUAAUAAGCACCAGUAGCCUAUUGAGUUAGAUGAGCUAGAUGACUUUCAUUAGCUCCUAGCGCAGCAUAUCUGAAUUCACUAUAGGGUUAAGAGUGACUUGCUUACACUGCUGAAUAACCUUCACUUUAGCGAGCUGUAGGACAAACUACAUUCAAGAGGAGAAAGGAAACUUUGAAUAGAAGGAUCAGUGCCCGUAGCAGUCCUGGAGUUAGGUUAUGAUGGUCGUGAUGAGCUCUACUAGAAAGAAAAUCUCUUCUAUUCAUAGAUGAAGUCCUAUCUAAGGGCCUUCGUUGCCCUUGAAUUCCGU